AUCCGGAUGACGAGCCCCAAAUAGAUCGAAAUGCGCAUCUUAGAU
rnacentral:hammerhead_ribozyme from 1 species